AACAUCAAGAGUCAGAGGCCUAACCGAUUGAGCCACCCAAGGUCCAGAUCCCUAGGGAUGUGUCACCAACUGGCCUAUUUUGAAGUCACUUGAAGAACUUCCUCACUCUGUGCUUACACCACCAAAUGAAUGAAAAGGAUCUGAUUCUUCUUUGGGGAGUAAAUAAGUGCAGUCUGUAGCCUGCAAAAUCAUUUCAGUUCUCAACGGCUAUUGUACCUACAGCAAAGCCUACGGAUCUGCUGAGCAGUGGGUUCCCCACCACUGCCUUCCCAGGGGACCCCUGGAAGUGGGGUUUGCUUGUGCCUGCUCCAGAGUCAGUACUCACUGAGGAGCUGCACUCCCUUGAAGAGAUGACCACGGCCUCGCUAGCAUCUAAAACUGGAUGAUCCAAGAAAGCAGCACUUCCUUUCGUGGCUCCCACCUUGAUUCCCUGAUUCCCUAGGGUGCAGGGAGCACAGACAAAUGUACAGCAGCUGACCUGAACGCGACUUGAGCAGACGGUGGAAGAGCACUGGAGCACACACAGAAAUCUGAAGAGCAUUGCUCUGCAGCUUCCUGGCCUUUCUUGCCCCCCGGGAACUGGGCCCGGGCUGCUCCUCUCUGCAAGGCCUGCCUCCACCUCCUUGCUCUGAGGACACGCCUCUUUUCUCUCCCUCGGCUCCCCUCCCAGGACCCCGACCUCCUCUCUCCUGAGCUCCCAUCAGAAAGCUCGGUUUCCAUUCCCAGCCCUGGCACUGAUUUCCCCUCUCUUUGACUGGACAAAGAAAGCCCUAAUUUUGAAACCAAAGGGGCUCGGUUUUUCUGACCCAAAUUCCAUUUAAAACAAAUGGGCAAAUUCCACCCCCGCCCCCUCCCUUAGAAUGCAAAGCUUUGCCAUCAUUCUUUCCUUAAAAAACUUGUGCACUUCUUCUCACCUUACGCGUCCAUCUUCUAUUUUUUAAUGGCCUGCAGCUUGCAAGACACUCUACUAGAGGCAUUUCAGCUAUUUUUAGAAAUUUGCUAUUCUUACAACCAUGUGAAAUAGGUCUUCUCAUGUCCAUGUUAUAGACGAGCAACUAGGGGCUCAAAACAUUGUAGUAUUUUGUUCAAGGUCAUAAAAAUAGUAAGUUGAUGAAAGAAUUCAAAUUCAGUUCUAAUUCCCAAAUCUGGGCACUUGCCACUGGAGUAAGUAGCCUCAUUUAAUUUAGCCUCAUUUUGUUUUCUUUCCUUCCUUCUCCUUCCCCUGCCCUUUUUUUUUUUUUUCCUUCCUUUCUUCUACCAAUACUUACUGUAAGUCUGUAAGUCUGGCACCAUUCUAAGCGCUGAGAAUACAUCAUGUCCAUGUCCUCAUGAAACUUACAUUUGAGUUAGAAUUGUGUGAAGAGAUAGACAACAAACAAAUAAGCAAAUGUGUAUAUGUGUGUUUAGUAUGUGAGAUGAAUGCUGAUCCCCACCCCUCAUCCUUCCCCCCAUAGAAGAAAUGCAGCAGGAUACGGGGCAUCGGGGGUAAGGGGCAGGAGAAACUUGCUACGUUAUAUAGGGUAUGCAUAACUAUAUAUAGAACAAGACCCACCGAUUUACUCUUUAUAACAAUUUGAAGUUCUCCCCAUCAGCUUCCCCAGAUAAAUCUUUCCUAAAGUGAAAAAUAAUUUGUCAUUUAUAUUAUUCUUCUCUCUGUAAGUUCCAAGUGCAUUUAAUGAGUAUACAGCUAUAUUACGUUACUUAUAGUCAAAUGCUUCUCAAAUGUUACCAACAACAAUCUGUCCAUAAGUCAAAAUUUUCUGCUUCUUAGGGGGCACAUCACCUCAGCAGUUUUUACAAGGUCUCAAGGGAGAAAGGCAAGUUGGAUUUUAUGAAGAAUAUGAGGCUUCGUUGAAAGUGGAGCUUUCAAAGCACUGGCUUGAUCAGGAUGGGGAAAGGAUCAUGAUAUUACAGUUCAGGAUUGGUGGAAACAGCGGAGCAAGAUCUUUCAGGCAAGAGAUUUAAAGAGGGAAGGGAAGUAUGAACCAAGUGUUGAUGUUUUCUGGGGAAGCCUGGAUGGAUCUCUUGGGAAUUCCCUGGAUUGAUCAAUCAAGUCAUUCCCUAGGAAGAAUGUCCUAGAAUUGUAAUGUUAUGCUAUAUAGCUAUACAGAAAAAAGGAUAGAAAAGUCAUGUUCACAUAGACAGUCUGAUCACCUAUGUAAAUUGAAUACCUAAAAUCAGGGUUUAAAGUCCUCAUGUGAUUCCCGAAAUCACGAUAUGGGUAAACCUGUUAAGUUUUGAAAAGUUGGAUUUGAAAACAGCACCACGUGUCAGGAUGAGCCAUGAUUGUCGGUUUCACAUCGUUUUCUCUAUUUUUUGUCAGGCCAUUUCAGAGCUCUUUUGACACCCCCCCCUUUUUUUUUCUGGAAUCUAGUCCCAUAGUCUAAAAUAAGAUGAGUAUUUUGUUUCUGACCUGGUUUAAAUCCAUACAGGCAGGUUACAUGAAAUAUAUUGCUCUGUUUGUCCACACUGGCUGUGGUUCAAGUAGGGAGGAUUCUAGGCCAUAUGGUUUACAAUUCUGUACGUUGGCACUCGAUUACUAGGUCUUUCUACUCACUUGUUUUUCCCUUUUUCAACCUGGCCCCCCGUUUUAUACACUGCUUCAUGCAGAUGCAGUCCUUUUGUGAUGGUGGCAGUGGGUAGAAUGGGGGUGAGGAGAAGGAAUGGCUUACUUGGCAAGCUCCCCAAAAUACUUUUAAAAUGUUCUGGCCAAUUUGGAGAAGUGGAUCGUAAUUCAUAUUUGGUAGACUUGGGUCAUUCAUUCUCCUUGAUGCAUUUCAGCGACAGCAUACCUGUCAGGCCAAGGAAGUUAUAAAUCUUUCUCCAUGUUAACAUUCACAUUUAAUUAAUACUAAUGGGCACAGAUGUCUCUAGGGCUAGAUGAUGUGGUCAAAUGAAGUCUGAGAAGCAGAUAAUAAAGGGAGUGGGUGAGAGCAUAUUUCAGGAUCAAUCCAGUUUGAUUGCCAACAGUAGUAUCUUCUGUUGAUAUUUUCCCUAUUUUGCUCUUUAGAUGGCCCUUCCACGGUUUGCAUUUGGGAUUUUCUAAGGCUUACUUUAAAAUACUAGACAUCUCUCCUUUUUCUCUAGAAAUGGUAGGAGAACAAACUCUGACCCAUCAAAAUCCUCAUGCAAGACUUUAGAACUUUUACUCUCUUUUCUGACACCCAUCAGUUUAAUCACAGCCCCAGAGUGUCUUUCGGGGAUUGGGCUAAGACAAUGCCCAGAGGCUGUAAUUUCUAAACCGUCCUUGGACUUAAGCAAAGUCAUGUUGAUGCAGCAGCACUGAAUAUGCAGUCAUUAAGAGUCCUUUGACUAUUACAUGUUAAAAUAAUGACCUCCUUAAAGUCUCUAGGGCAAGUCUCUAGUGAUAUAAUGAACAACCCAUGCACAUUUCAGAAAAGAAAAAACUAAAGACACCCAGCACAGUGUUAUUUCAGUUGUGUUGAAUUUCCAAUGUUCUUCUAAAGUAUACUGAUCAGUAACGAGAAAGGAAGCUUUAUUUGGCCACUCUCCCUACCUGAAUCCUGCUCACCAUCAGAACCAGUUAAGAGAAUGCCUCAUUAGGGGACUUUAUAGAAAAAUCCAAAUGUCUUUCUACUCUAGGUCAUGCCUUUCCCCAGGGAUGGCCUGACUGGUGGUUGAAGUAUUUGUAGACACAGGCAAAGUGUGACUAAGGGUCCAGCAAGGUCCCAUUUGGCUUAUUUUAUACUCCUCUCCAGCUCUAGUGAAGGCACCUUUUCUUCCUUGUAGGUCUAAACGUUUUACUAUUAACAUGCCAGUAUCUCCAUAAUGCCAUUAAGAAAUCCCCAUAUCUGGUUUGGCUUCUCACAGGAUGGUUAACUAGGACAGGUUGCCAGCUUCCUUUCUUCAAAUCAAUCUUAGAGAAACUAGAAGUGAGAGAAAAGCAUGGAUCUGAGAAGCUAACAAAAAUGGCCUGAACCUCCUCGUGGGAAUGACAGGAUGGUGACCUCCUGUGUAUGGGUGGUUGUCAAGUGGACGGCAGACUGGAGGGAAGAGGGGUAGCUUGAGGAGGACAGUGCGAGUGAGACAAAAGGUUGUAGACAAAUGUCUGGGUUCCAUUCUUGUUUCUUCCUUACAUGGCCUUGGGUCAGUGGUCAAUGGAUCCUUCACUACAGAAAUCAGCUGUUACAGCCCAAGUCUCUGGUGUCAGGGCUUCUGGGGUAAUAUCAAGGGGGAGCAAAGGAUUUACAGGAGUGGGGAGUUUAUAAAAAUAAGUGAGGAAUGGGGUAACUG